rnacentral:rRNA from 1 species
AGCAGCCGCAGUAAUUCCAGCUCCAAUAGCGUAUAUUAAAGUUGUUGCAGUUAAAAAGCUCGUAGUUGAAUUUCGGAAUCAGUACGCCAGUCAUGCUUCGGUAUGUACUAGUGUCACUGAUUCCUUCCUUCUGACGAACCGUCAUGCCAUUAAUUUAGUGUGAUGUGGAAUCAGGACUGUUACUUUGAAAAAAUUAGAGUGUUUAAAGAAGGCUCGCGCUUGAAUACAUUAGCAUGGAAUAAUGAAAUAGGACGUUUGAUCUUAUUUUGUUGGUUUCUAGGAUCGAUGUAAUGAUUAAUAGGGAUAGUUGGGGGCAUU